UCCUCUGUGGCGCAAUUGGCUAGCGCGUCUGACUGUUAAUCAGGAGGUUGGUGGUUCAAGCCCACCCGGAGGAG